GUUUUCAAAUCGGCAUUUCACAAGACAGUUGGAAACGGUACCUUGAAUUUUGAUGAGCUGUCUGCGAUCGUAUUGGAUGUUGAGACGUCUAUCAACGGUCGUCCGUUAGAUCAUGUGGAAGAUGAUAUCCAACUCCCUCUACUCACACCCAAUUCCUUUAUGUUCCUUCAACCUACUCAGCCGUUAGAAUUGGAGCCACAUCACCUUCAGGAAACUACGUUACGAAAGCGAGCUAGAUAUCUGUCUAAAGUGAAGGAUUCGUUAUGGGCAAGAUGGAGUAAAGAGUACGUACGAAGUCUGCGCGAGAAACAUCGAUUACUACAGCAAGAUAAGAAGACCGAAUCACCAGAGGUUGGCGAUAUUGUCAUAAUUAGAGGUGAUGAAAAGAAUCGGAAUCUAUGGAAACUCGGGAAAGUAGUUCGUCUUUAACUCGGUCGUGAUGGAGAAAUUCGUGGCGCUAAGGUUCAAACGGGAAAUGGAAUUUUGGAGAGAACCCCUCAACACCUCCACCCUUUAGAGUUGAAAUGUGAUUUCAAUGACUCGAAGCAACCGUUGAAUCCUGAUGUUGAAGAGUUUCGUCCACGACGGGGAGCAGCAAUAGCAGCUGAAGAACAAAUAAGAGCUAUAAACAUGUACAAUGACGAUUAGUUACUAGCAAUACUUCAGUCUCCUUUAGGACAUAUAGCAGUUAUUACAGCUAUAUGGGGGGAGGGUGUCGGAGACUGGGUACGAACAGUGUUAAUUUUGUUGAGUUAAGCACAUUUUUGUGAGACUUGUGAGAGCGAAGUGAGAUUUUAUAGCGAAGCGAUUUCUAUUAUUAAAUAUAACUUUUAAACUUUAAUUUGUGAGUGAUUUUAAGCGAAG